AGUUUCUGGAACACCGGCGUGACUGCCCGUCUGCCAAAUAUUCCACUCCUCCUGCCCGGUGGAAGUGCAUGCUGAAGACAAGUCUCCUUCAGUGUUCUGAAUGAGAGGCUCCUAUCCGGCCUCCCAUUUUCUUGCUUUGGAGUAACAAUCUCAUUUGUAGCGCCUGCUACCGUGGUGAUAUCAGCACCUACGGCUACAGGCACUGUACUGAGCUUGAGUACCUCCUCCGAGCUAUAAAGGUCAAAUGCAUUGCCUGCAAACAAUACUUUCCAUUCUCCUGGUUGGGGUUGCGCCAGGUGGGCGAUUGCCCAUUCAAGUGUGAAUUGCAAAACAUCGCCCCAGGCUCGAGUGCCCCAAAAAAGUUAUGUGAUGAAGAGGAAACCGAGAGACCUAUGGCCGGCAACAAUAGUAUCCAUGGGAAAAGUAAGUGAAAGGUUCAUUUUGAGGUUGGUAAAAUGGGCAAGCACAUUUUUCACGGUGAUGAGGUUGCGAGUGAUGAUGACUCAUAUGAUGCUUCAUAUGAUGACAACCAUGUAAGUUUAUUUGUGAUUAAACCACUGAUAUGCAGCUUCAUGGCUCACUCUUGUGUUUUGUUUGCUUGCUUGCUCACUGUAGCCUGAGUGUCAAAAGAGUGGCUGAGCAGGCCUUUAAGACACCUUGUGAUAAGAAAGGAAAGAUUGCAAUGCCAUAUGGGCAGAAAACAAGUACUUGCUCACCUGCUGAGUUUAUCUAACAUGCUUUCUCUAUGGGUUAAUUAUAUAUGUGCCAUGUUAGUGUUGGCUUACUAGAGAAUAUUGUUAUGGGCAUGCUAUGUUCACAUACGUUUAAGCGCUGAACUCUGUAAUAAGCAUGUAAGAUUACAUUAUAGCUGUGUUCCUUGUUAGCAUAGAAUAAGGUAUUGAUUAUCUUAAACUCAGCCAGAUUUUUUUACGACAACACUGUUUUGGGUUUUUUUGGGAUGUCAUGGUAUUUUUCACCAUACAUAAUCCACAUCCAAUAAAAGAUCUUGUUUCACCAU